GACGAACGCUGGCGGCGUGCUUAACACAUGCAAGUCGAACGGUAAGGCCCCAGCUUGCUGGGGUACACGAGUGGCGAACGGGUGAGUAACACGUGGGCGACCUGCCCCGCACUUCGGGAUAAGCCUGGGAAACUGGGUCUAAUACCGGAUAGGACCGCACCGUGAGGGUGUGGUGGAAAGUUUUUCGGUGUGGGAUGGGCCCGCGGCCUAUCAGCUCGUUGGUGGGGUAAUGGCCUACCAAGGCGGCGACGGGUAGCCGGCCUGAGAGGGUGGACGGCCACAUUGGGACUGAGGCACGGCCCAGACUCCUACGGGAGGCAGCGGUGGGGAAUAUUGCACAAUGGGCGGAAGCCUGAUGCAGCGGCGCCGCGUGGGGGAUGACGGCCUUCGGGUUGUAAACUCCUUUCACCAUCGACGAAGGUUUUCUGACGGUAGAUGGAGAAGAAGCACCGGCUAACUACGUG
rnacentral:rRNA from 1 species